GGUCCUUUGUCGCUAAAAGGCAACCCGCGACCGAACAAAAAAAGUACAUACACACAAAGCGAAGUGAUCACAGUCAAAAAGAGAACUUAAAAGCGGCCGGUAGUUGCGCGUUAAUUGCAAAGCAAGCGGUAGUGAAAAACAAUCAAACUAAUAAAAAUUACAGAAAAACCAAAUUUAAACGCAAAUAUAAAGUGAAGUGAACCAAAAGUUUAUAAAAUGGAUAACUAAAUCUAUUGAGAAAUUAACAUAUAUACACUGUGAAACAAAAACAAAAAUAGCCAACUCUUAUAUAGCGGCACCUCAAAAUGAGCAUUAGGGUGGUUCGUUAUACAAAAAAUUAUUAAAAUUAAAUAAAAGCACUGUGGAAAAGUGGGUGAAUUGACAGAAAAACGUGAAAAUAGCUGAAAAUAAAAAGGCGUAUAAGCGUGGCAAAAAGUGUACAGGCGCUUAAAAAACAAGGUAAAACUAAAGGCUGAAUUGUGUACUGGGAAAAAAAGUGCAAAGAAAGUGCGGACCUACUUACCAGCAAUAAUUUCUGAAAAAGGAAAAAAAGAGCUACAUAUUUAAAAAAAAAAAAAAAAAACCUUCAUAAAAAAAAAAACAAAAAAGCGGUACCGGUUGAAAUAAAAAUAAAGGCCCAACAAUAACAAAAAGGGAAAAAGGCGAAUUAAAAACGGGCUUAGCGGCAGUGAAGACCCCAGCACCAACAACAAAAGCGGAUAGCAGCAACGGCAGCGACAGGAUACAGGCCAUUUCAGGCGGUACAGUCCCGACAAAAAAAA